CAUGAGAGGGGGGUAGAAGCUAUCCCUCGCCAUUUUCCGUCAACCUCAAUCAAGUUAGCUUCUGUCAGUCGCUGUGUUUGUGUGUUGUGAUAUGAAAAAUUAUUAGUACCGAUGAAUCUCAAUGGGAAAUCGUGCUGAUUACGACGCCAAACGAUGGCUCGGUUAUUGUGUUUGUGUUUUUAAUGCAACGUUCGAUCUGUGAUGAUGGCCGAGUGAUUGAUAAAGUGAAGUGUUUUGUGUCGUAUGCUGGGCUGGCAGCAACAUUGAGCUCCUUGCUUUGGAUAAAUCGUCCUCAAGACGACGUCGAAUAAAAGAACUGGAAGGUGACGCACCAUGUCGGCCAAAAACAUUCCUGGAGACAAGAUAAAUCUGCGAUUAAUUCUAGUGUCCGGCAAGACGAAGGAGUUUGUUUUCAGUCCCGUAGACUCGGCGGGGGAUAUAGCGGUUCACGUUUAUGAUAACUGGCCCGAAGCUGACUGGGCUUCGGAGUGCGUGUCUCGCGCCGAGAUCCUCCGCCUCAUCUAUCAGGGACGGUUCCUCCAUAGCAGCGUCACCCUCGGAGCCCUAGGGCUGCCGCUCGGACGAACCACGGUCAUGCAUCUCGUGCCAAGGGAACACCUGCCCGAGCCUAACUCUCACGAAGUCCGAUGGGGAUAACAUUAUCUAUUUCCAUUAUCCUAUACCUCCUCUCCUCUUCCUUCCUCCAAGACUAUCAACGACAAAAAAGUAAAGGCGGCUCUAGCAGUUGUUGUUCGGCUUCCUGCUGUAUAUUGUAACGUGUGUGACUAUAAGGUCGAUCUAUGUGUUCACAGUGAUUUAGAGACGGGAUUCCAUUACUUAUAGUGUUACACUUGGAAUAUUUUUAAGACUCGCUUAUGUUGGUAGCCUUGGGCUUUUUAAACGUAGCGUCGUGUCGGAGUGAAACGCGUUCAUAGUGUUUACAAGGAAUUAAUAUGUAUUAGAUAUAUUUAAAAUAUGUUAUUGUAACCGCUCGUUUUGAUGAAGUCUUGUACAAGGACGGAGUUGUCUCAAAUAAUAUAUCAAAUUAUUAUAAAAUCAUAUGCCACCUAACGAUAUUACCACGACGAGACCGAUACGCACAACUCUAAAGAGAUCUUAAAAAUGUUUCAAGAAUUCGAUUAAUAUCUUUGUUAUUCGUGACGGCGGAAAUACGUGAAAUAACUUUAUCGAGCGUCAUCAAACACAUCGUUAAUAUAUAAUAACUGCUACCGAUAUUUUUAGAUAAAAUUAUAGUUAAGCAUUCGUCGGAAUCGUGUGUAACUUCGGUGAACGUAUUCGCUUGUCCGUACAAAUUAUCUUACUGGAUGCAUCAUACUACACACGCAGCGUUUACAGUAUUUUCAUUUAAACCUGCGUUAAUACUAUCAUGUAUGAAUGAAAAUUUUUUUAGACGCCGUACGUAGUGUGAUGCAGGGUUGAGGUGAGAAUAUGUCAUUAUAUCCGCAUCACAUGACUUUAUAUCGGAGGCUGCUGCAAAUAUUAACGAAGAUUAUUAAAUAUAAACAAAAUUUAUGUAGUACUUGUGUUUAAAUUACACUCGUUUGCAAUGUAUAUAAUAUGAAAUAAGGAAAACAUGACGGGCUAUAUACGUAUAUAUUAAUUUUGUUAUAGCUCUCACGCAAUAUACGUUUCUCUUUUAAAAUUAUUUAAAAACGAAAUUCUUUUAUUCAGCCGUCUUCUACAUUUUAAGCGUUUACGAAAUGUUUAAACUAUCGGUUAUGUUUUGAACUAACACGGCGUUGUUUUUAAUAUAGCUCAAUUAGAAGUUUUUUUAAUAUUCCCAGAUUAAACAUGGCCGCUACGGACUUAUAUUUCGUGCUGGCAAUGUUAUUUUUGUAACGUUUAUCCACAAUGCCUUCAACGUUACCGAGUCCCUUACAAACCGUAUUGUAAAUAUAUAUUAAACAGAGCUUCUUAUAUUUUUAGUUUACAUUAUAUACACGUACCCUUAUAUUUUUAUCGGCCUUAAGUAUUUAGCAAUGAAAUUAUUUUUCUAUUACGUUACAAUGAAAUCGGCUGAGCCGCUAUCUUCCAUAGAAUAUAAAUAAAUAUCCUCAUUAAAAUUAUUAAAGUUUAAAAAAAAAAAACACCCGUAAUCCAUCCUGUCGUUGUAAGAUGCGAUAUUCUUUUGUGAUAGUACAAAUAAAAUUAUUUAAACGCUACCGAACACUUUGGCGGAGUGAAAUUCACGAGCAGUAUUAAACGGAAUAAUUGACUGUAGGUCGAUUUUAUUUAGGAGUGCGAGUGUUGCCACACUCGACAUGUGUACCGAAAUAUCUUGCCAACAUUCUGUCAUCGCGCUGUAGUGUGGCAACACCGCUUACAUACCCGUGUGAAUGUUAUUAUCUUUAGUUUUAAUUUUUUGGUUACUUGUUUAGUUUUUUUUUUUGUGUAUGUCUGUAUUUUGUUAAGUUGUGUAAAAUAUCUAGUUAUAAUUAAAAUAAAUUUACAACGUGACACGCAUGUUUUAUUUUUCUGUUGUCGCUUUCAUCCUUUGUAAAUAUCGGCUUAUGUGUUACGCUUCAGUGUUUAAAUACGAUAUUGUAUAGUCAGAUAUAACGGUAGGUCGGCGUUAAGGUGACCACUCUGGAGGGUUAGUUCGAUGUAUUCACCUAAUUUUAAUAAUUCUAUAGUAUAGCUAUUAACUUUAUCGAAAUAAAGACAAGUAUUUCCACGCCCUAUUCUAUAUGACCUACCAUUGUUGGGAUUCAAACAAUGACGACAUUGGAUCUGUGUAUAUUACGUUUACAGUAAGUGCCAUCGUUUUUGUUAUACGAAAAUAUUGGCCUUUUAAUCAUUAAAUAAAAAUUAAUAAUAAUAGUGAUGUCCCCAAUGAUGGUAGUAUAAAGACCGGGGCGGUCGACGAAUGUAAAUAACGAUGUCUUUUAUUUAGUGAAUUCUAGAUUUAUCGAUUAGCUUGAAUAUAUUUUGAGACCGUUGUAUGUGACUUCUUUUAUUUAAUAACGACUAUUUAAAAUAAUGGAUAAUACAAAAAAUAUUUGUGAUUUUUAAUUCGGAUGAAUCGUGACUAGUGAUGUGCUGGGUCGAUGAAGAUCCGUAAAUUGUUAGCGGUAUUUAAGUACUGUUCUAUUCCUAAAGUGUAAAUUUAAUGAAAUCAUUUUUUUUUAAAUAUAAAUUGACAUUUUUUUAAUUAUAUAUACUAUGCCCAUCACCUACUUAUUUAAAUUGUUCUCAACAUUUGGAAUGAGCAAAAAGAUUCGACUUAAAAAUAUACAUAAAAGGUAUUCACAUCACUAGUAUCGAUACAAUCACGGGCUGUCAUUAAAUAUUUGAUCGUACAACGGUGUAUAUCUGUAAUAAAUUUCCAAAUAAUAGCUGUCACUGUGUAACAGGUUAACUUCGCGUGUAAUUAUAUAAUUGUUAAUGUAAAUUAAUAAUAUUAAAAAAUAUAUAUAUAACGAUGUUGAUUAUUUGACAGUUCUGUUUAUGGUAAUAUUGGCGCGGUUUUGAUUCCAGGGUAGGUUCGCUUGUGUAAAUCCGAUUUAUUUGUAGAUAGCUGGAUAUAUAUAUAUUUUUUUUUUGUAUUCGGACGCUAUAGUUUGACGUUCGGAUGGUUGAGUUUCGAUGGGGUCAAAUAAAAUUUUAAGAAUGUAUAA